rnacentral:lncRNA from 8 species
AUGGGGAGCACCGAGACAGUAGGCUGCAGAAUGCACAGGGACACAAACCAACCACAGGACCACACUGUCCGUGAUGGACAUCCUUCUCUGUGUCCUCGUUUCCUGGUUCACAUGAAGACCUGUCCUGCAGACCUCAGACCCCCACGUUUCCUAUCCAGUAACCCCAGACCACGUCCUCCUCGCCGGGAACCGACACAACAAAGACAAGCCCUUAGUGGCCUGAAGACGCAUUCAUGUGCAGACUCCAGGAGCAGGAGCCUGCAGCACUGCAGCACCACCAGAGGGAGGCGCUUAGCUGUUGUUGUUCCCUGUGUUCCAGUGCCAGUCUCCCCCCCUCCCAGCAGAGCCUCCCCUGAGCUCCCAGUCUGCCCAAGUCCAACAUCCUCCACUGUCACUGACUCUGAGCAGCAAGGGACUGGAUCCAUCCCUGCUCCAGCCUCAGCCCUGCCUCAUGUCCAUACUCAGAAAGGAGAGAAGGAAACAGAGGAUGGUGUUAAAGAGAUGGGUGGGGGCACUUCGGCUUCCUCAGGGGCCUUCCGCCCUCCAAGGCCAGACCAAGAUCCCAAUUCUGGUCCUGAGGACAUAGACCCCUCAGUUUCUCCAAUCCCUAGUGUCUGUGAGGAUUCUCUCUCAGACUUUAGCCGCCCACCAUCCAGCCAGUUCAGCCGAAGCACAGACCUGGGUAGUGGCCGGAGCAGUCCUCUAUGUGCGAAUCUGAGUGACCUGGACUCAGAGGGUGGCUCUCCUCUCUCCCAGCAUGGUUCCUCUUCCAUGUCCCUGUCUGCUCUGGCCUCCUGCACCCCACAGGACCCCCCAACACACAAGCCCCCAAACCCAGCCCCUCACCACCCUCUACACCAUCCCCUCCCUCACCAGGCCCAACACUGCCCACCUGACUGGACCACCACGGAGCCCCAGCCAGGCCAUGUACCCCCACCCUACCCAGACCCAGACCCAUUCCUGGAGCCCAACCCAGACCCUACUACCCUAGCUUUCCCCUCAGACACCUGGCAGUCCUGCCCCAGCCCACAGUGCAGGAUAACUCCCCGGCCAGGGUUAGGGUCAGGUUUGACCUCAUCUCCUGUGGUGGUGGAGAGGCAGGACUGGACAUCACACCGCUGGUCCGUCCUUCCCCCCAUCUCUCCUGUCAGAGAUGGCAGUGACACAGUGUCCUCCUGGUCCCGCUGUUCUCAGGUCAGCUCUAGCCAGUCCCAUGUGUUUGAUGAACUGGAGGCCAUCGCCCCGCGGACCAGCUCCUGUCUGUCCCUAGACCACCCACUCAGCCCAGCAGACUGCAGCCCACCUGGUACAGAGAUGUCCCCAGGCCUGGCUGCUCUGACAGUGGGCUGUGACUCAGGGGACCUGGGCUCCCUGUCCCGUGUGCAGCUCCUGCUCCUGGACCGGUCGGACCCUGUGGAGCCCCACUGGCUCGCUGGUCAGGACAAGUACUCCCCAACAGAAGACAGAACAACAGACCUCACGGCGGAGCUCCGAGCCAGAAGACCUCUUAGUCCAAGACUGUACACUACAGACGUCCUGCAGCCCCUCACAGCUGGCAGCUGUGGAGACGGCAGUGUGUCUGAGAGGUGUGUCGCCACAGGCAAAGUCCAGGAACAGGGUGAGCACACAAUGUCCCACACCAAGGAUGGUUCCAGGUCACCAUCGUCAUGGAUCAGUGACUCCAGCCCAUCAGGCAUCAUAUCCGGGUCCACCAGUUCCCAAUGCGAGUCCUGCUGUGAUGGGGAGGAGUCCGAGGGAAGUGACCAAACCAGCCAGGCCCUUACCUCCUUAAAUGACAGGCAUAAGGGCCCCAGCCCAGACCAGGGGGUUCCAGUGAAGGAGGAGCCUGGUUGCCCUGAUCGGGGGGAGCGAGGCUGGGCUUCCACAGUGGGCAGGAGAAGACCCGGGAGGCUGGAGCGCAGGAUGCGGGAGAAGGAGCGAAAAAGGGAGGAGAGAAAGACAAAGGUGCUAAACAUCUACUCCAGACUCCAGGACAGCGGGCCCCUUCAGCCCAGCCGCAACAGGGGCCGCUCCAAGUUUGAGGACUUCGACUUCUUGGCAAAGUAUUGCAUUUUCAGCCAGGAGAAGCUGGCAGAAUACAAAAGGGCUUUUGAAGCAGUUGACAGCGAUGCUGAUGGUUACAUCUCCUGUCUGCAAGUGCUGCUGGCACUAAAGAAGAUCAUCCCUCCAGAGCUGCUCUCUGAUGAAGAAGAGAUAUAUGUCUACAGGAUCCUGGAGAUGGUGGAUUUCAGGGUGACAGAUGGACUUACAGACCUGAGGCUCUUUGCUGUGAUUGCGAGCCUGGCGCAGAAGAUAGUCACCAUGGAUGUAUUUAUGCGUUCCCUGAUAAGCAAAAUGGACUUCCAUUCUUUGGCAUUAAAGCUAUACAAAGCAAAGCAGCUGUUCAUGUUCCUGCUGGAGGAGCAGACAGGGGGCGCUGUGGCCCAGCAGGGCUGUAUCAGCGCAGAGCAGCUCCUAGUGGAGCUCAAGGCCGGGGGCAUCCGACCAGAACAAGAGGAAGCCAUCAAACAGGAGCUCCGACACAUCAGCUCCCUGGACCUGCUGGACUUCCUGGCGUACCUGCCCCUCUUCGUCCUAAUCCACAACUCAGUCAUCGCCAACCCACUGGAUGACUCCAGCAACCUGUGA